CAGCCGCGGUAAUUCCAGCUCCAAUAGCGUAUAUUAAAGUUGUUGCAGUUAAAAAGCUCGUAGUUGGAUCUCGGGUCCGGGCUCGCGGUCCACCUCGCGGUGGUUACUGCCCGUCCCGACCUACCUACCGGUUUUCCCUUGGUGCUCUUAACUGAGUGUCUCGGGUGGCCGGAACGUUUACUUUGAAAAAAUUAGAGUGUUCAAAGCAGGCGCUUCGCCUGAAUAAUGUUGCAUGGAAUAAUGGAAUAGGACCUCGGUUCUAUUUUGUUGGUUUUCGGAACUCGAGGUAAUGAUUAAGAGGGACAGACGGGGGCAUUCGUAUGAUGGUGUUAGAGGUGAAAUUCUUGGAUCGCCGUCAGACGAACUACUGCGAAAGCAUUUGCCAAGAAUGUUUUCAUUAAUCAAGAACGAAAGUCAGAGGUUCGAAGACGAUCAGAUACCGUCCUAGUUCUGACCAUAAACGAUGCCGACUAGCGAUCCGCCGGAGUUGUUUCAAUGACCCGGCGGGCAGCUUCCGGGAAACCAAAGUCUUUGGGUUCCGGGGGAAGUAUGGUUGCAAAGCUGAAACUUAAAGGAAUUGACGGAAGGGCACCACCAGGAGUGGAGCCUGCGGCUUAAUUUGACUCAACACGGGAAAGCUUACCCGGCCCGGACACCGUAAGGAUUGACAGAUUGAGAGCUCUUUCUUGAUUCGGUGGGUGGUGGUGCAUGGCCGUUCUUAGUUGGUGGAGCGAUUUGUCUGGUUAAUUCCGAUAACGAACGAGACUCUAGCCUAUUAAAUAGUUCGCCGAUUUCGAUCUGUCGGCGUUAACCUCUUAGAGGGACAAGUGGCUUUUAGCCACGCGAGAUUGAGCAAUAACAGGUCUGUGAUGCC
rnacentral:rRNA from 1 species